rnacentral:lncRNA from 1 species
GGGCAGAACGACAAUGCGAAAGAAAAAUUUUAGCAGUUCAAACAGAUAACGCAAAAGAGUUUCUAAAAUUGGGAAAACGGUUGGCGGAACUGGGUAUUUCACAUCGUCUCUCUGCACCCUAUUCACAUCAACAGAUGGGUCUAGUAGAGCGUAGGCAUCGGCAUUUGAUUGACACAACGGUUACUCUAUUACGACACUCAAAUCUUCCAAAUAACUUUUGGGAUUUCGGAGUUGUCACCGCGAGUUAUUUGUAUAAUCGGAAUCCAACACCCAUUUUGAACAACAAAUCACCGAUGGAGGUCUUAUUUCAAAAAUCACCAGAGUAUGAUCGUCUUAAGAUUUUUGGGUGCUCCUGCUAUCCAUGUCUCCGGCCAUAUCGCAAGAACAAACUCGAAGCAAAAUCUGCACAAUGCAUCUUUGUAGGGUACUCAAUGGAACAGAACUGUUAUCUGUGUCUAGAACCAGCUACUCAGAAAGUUUUUGCUUCCAGAGAUGUAAUUUUUAAUGAGGACGAUUUUUCUUUGAAUAUAGAAUACUAUGGGGAUCAGGGAGAAAAUUGUACAGGUAUUAUGGAUCAUAUUCAACAUACAACUCAAUUAAAACAAUUGGGCCAAAACAGCGAAAUUAAGGAUGCAACAGUUAUCCAAGAAUUAGGGGUUAUUCAACCCAAUAAUGAUGAGGACCCGAUUCAAGAAUCAAAUCCAGACCCGACUGCUGACCCAGUUCUAGUGAAUACUGGCUUGUUUCCCAACCCGGCUCCUGACCCGGUUUCAGAUCCGCCUAUUCCGGUAAUUGCUGACCCGAUUUCAGAUCCAAUUUCGGACCAAACGCAUGCCCCAAUUCCAGAAGUUGCUGAUCCAAAUAAUACAACGGAGACCCAAGCUAUCGUCGUCUUCAACAAAGAAAGGGGUCCGUCGGAAAACGAACUUCAGAAAACAACAGAAGCAUCACCAAUUUUCAGAUCAAUCGCGGAUGACUUCGACGCCGAAGACGACAUAGAAAAUCAUCCAGAAACUGAAAGUGAGGCACCAAUAAAUGAACGAAUGAGAACCAGAUCAUCGGAUGGAAUCUAUAAACCCAAUCCGAAAUACGCUCUGGCCAUCGCACCCUCCGACAUUCAAACCCCCAAAUCGGCAAGAAUCGCGAUUUCAGACCAAAACUGGAAAAGAGCGAUGAAAGAUGAAUUUGAAGCUUUACAACAAAAUAAUACUUGGACCUUAGUUGAACGUGAAACAGGGGACAACGUUAUUAAUACCAAAUGGGUAUUUAAGGUUAAAACAACUGAGGAUGGGUCGUUCGAAUGCUUCAAAGCAAGGCUUGUGGCAAAUGGAAUGAGACAAAUUUACGGAGCUGAUUACAUGGAUACAUUUAGUCCGGUUGUGCGCCCUUUGUCAAUAAGAUUAGUGCUAUUAAUUGCUGUAUCAAGAAGUUGGAAAAUGCAUCAGAUUGACAUCUCAAAUGCGUUCCUACACGGUGAAUUAAAAGAAAGAAUCGUUGUGUCACAACCAUUUGGGUUCAUAGAUCCAAGCAAGCCCGAUCACGUCUGUCUCCUUCACAGAUCUCUCUAUGGGCUAAAACAGUCACCUCGAUGCUGGUUUCAGAGACUAAGAAAAUUUCUCGUUGACUUGAAGUUUAAAGAAUCCGCUAUAGAUCCCUCAUUGUUCAUUCUUCAACAAGAAAAAUUCAUAGCUUACUUAUUCGUCUAUGUUGAUGAUAUUGUAAUUUCAGGAUCGGAUGAAUUGGAAGUCGGAAGAAUAAUAACGCAAUUAAAAGAAGAAUUUCCACUAAGAAUACUCGGAGAUCUCAGGUUCUUCUUAGGGAUCCAGGUUACAUACUUUGAUGACGGGAUACACUUGGCUCAACCUCAAUAUAUUGCAAACCUGUUAAACAGCUGCGGUAUGAAGAAUACUAAACCUUCAACAACACCAAUGGCUGCAAACUUUCAGUUCACCUCCGAUGAGGAUCCAAUGGAAGACGCACGAGAAUAUCGUCGUGUCAUAGGGUCAUUACAAUAUAUUACAAUGACCAGGCCCGAUAUUCAGGUUGCGGUUAACAUCCUUUCUCAAUUCAUGGCGAGCCCAAAACCGACACACUGGACAUCAGUCAAACGAGUAUUACGUUACCUCUCGGGAACCCAAAAGCUUGGGAUUACGAUUCGCAAGACAGAACAAUUCAACAUAACUGCAUAUUGCGAUUCGGACUGGGGUGGAGACACAUCGGAUAGAAAAAGUCGAACAGGGUUUCUUGUAUUGGUAGGCGGAACUUUAGUAUCAUGGAUUUCUCGCAAACAGAGCACUCUGGCCAGAUCAAGUACGGAGGCAGAAUAUCGCGCAAUCGCCGUAACUACCCAAGAAGUUGAAGCAGUGCGGUCAAUGCUAUUUGAGCUAGGAGUUUCAACACCAAAACCAAUCAAAAUACUCUCGGAUAACUUAGGUGCAACAUUUAUUUCAAAGAAUCCAAUCGGACAUUGCAAACUUAAACAUGUAGCAAUAGACCUACAGUUCGUAAGGGAGAAGACAGAAAGCGGGGAGAUUUCGGUGGAACACAUUCCCGGGACCAUCCAAUGGGCAGACGUAUUGACAAAACCUCUACCGGCAAAACAAUUUCUAAAUUUACAAACCAAGCUCGUUGGAAUAAAUCCAAGAGCUUAAGGGAAGGGGUGUAAAGGAUAACUGAUCUGUUAUGAAUCAGUUAAUCCUAAUUAGAAACAAACUUGUAUAAAUAGAGAACAAGUAUUUGAUAAUAAAUCAAUUCACUCUUUGAUUCAAUCAUUCAAUGUUCUAGUAUGACAAAACCCAAAAAGGUACAUUGGACAGCUCUACAACGAAUAAUGCGCUAUCUCUCCGGCACACCAUACGUAGAGAUUACAAUAAGUAAGAUAAAGGAGUUAGAGCUCAUCGCUUUUUCAGACGCCGAUUGGGCCGGUGACCCAUCUGACAGAAGGAGCCACGACGGUCAUCUAAUAUUUUUGGGGGGCAACCUUAUCACUUGGCAAUCAAAGAAACAAUCAUCUGUCAUAAGGUCUUCAACUGAAGCAGAAUAUCGAAGCAUAGCAAAUGUGGCGACAGACUUGAAUUGGACACAAUCGAAGAUUAAAGAAUUAGGGGUACAAAUUAAUUAAACUCCCAUUCGUGAUAAGGUGCAUAGGAGCUAACUAUCUUGCGAAGAAUCCAAUAUUUCACGCGAAAUCAAAACACAUUGCAAUUAGCUAUCACUUUGUCAGAGAAGGUAGAAGAUGACUCACUCAUUAUCAAACUCAUAGGCACCUAGUACCAGUUAGCAGAUAUGCUAACAAAACCACUUACCAUUUCGAUCUUUGAUUUUUUUAAAUCCAAACUUAUCAACUUACUUCCGCUAAGCAUGCGGGGGGUGUUAAGCAAGUUAGUUAGUGUUAGUUAACCGUUACAAAUCAUAUCUAAACACUAUAUAAUAGAAUCAAGUCUAUCAAUAAAAGUACACUUGAAUAUCAUUCUUGAUCACUUCCCAAUAUACCACACCACAAGAAACGAACAGAAAGAAAUCAAUAUCCAAUCAUAUCGAAAAUUGACGAAACCUAAAUCUGAAAAAAAUAAUAAGUAAAUCAAAGAGAUUAUACUGUAUGACUGCUAAAAUCCAUAACAGGCAAACAAAUAUCGAUGCCAUUGAUACAAGAUCUGAGAAACUAAGGAUCGAUAUGAAAAAAAGAUUGAUCAUGAAUGAAGAACAAGAAGAAAAAAAAUAAUAAAUAAAAGAAAGUGUGGAAGACGUGGAGAAGAUGGAGGAUAAGGAUUGAGGCCAAAAUGGUAGUUAUCAGAAAGAAAAACGGGUGGGUAUUCUUAAAUAAUGAAAUAAUUAAUUGAAUGAACGGUUGGGAUAGAAUGAAACGAACGGUUAAAAUAUGAAUUUUUAGGUUGGUGACACCAGGCUAGAAUGGUUGUUAUGAUUUUCAACCGUUUUGAGGUGUUUGCUUGUGAUUAAAUCAAUUAUGAUGGACCGUAGAAUAAGCCUUCACAAAUUUAGCCCUAACAUUUUCUUAUCCAUAUUAAAAUAAAAUUAUAAGUAAACCAAUUUAAGCGAUGCUUUUUACAUGCACCACCCUUUGAAUGUUUCCAUAUUUUAAGGGUCAAUUUGAAAUUACCUAUCUCUAGUUUUAGAUUCUUUUACUUUGUAUAUUUUUUACAACCAAUCGAAAAACACAUGUACGUCUUAUGGAUUUGUGGGUCGUUGGGCUUAUUCGUCAGUCGUGUCGAGUCAGCAACUCAGUUGAAAGCUAUGAAACAAGUUGAGGUUCAAAUUGUAUUUGUGCCUUAGUCUUGUGAACCAUUGUAUUAAAAUAAAAUUGUAUUGAACUCGUUCGUACAUAUAUUUCAAAAAUUAUAUUCUGAAAGAUAUUAUUUUUUGGAAAAAGUACCUGUACAAUAUGUUGAACCUACUUGAUGUUAAAAUGUUUGUUAGAUAUAAUUUAAAAUUAUGUAAAACAUAUUAUAUACUAAGAUGAUGUACGGUGGUUGAUCAUAUUUUUAGAUGAAAAUGAUGUACGAUAAUUGAUAUUUUAGUGGUAUAUAUUUUUUCUGAGUUGACAUAUUGGCCCCCCAUGUUAGUGUAGGGAUGUCAUACGAAACCAAUCACGGUUAUUAAGGUGAUUGACAACCGGAAAUACAUCCAAGAAGAUAGACCUAAAAUUUUAAGAAAAACAAGAAGAAAGAGUCAUACCUUUGGGGAUGAUGAAAAUUAUGGAAAAUUUUGUUGUUGUUGGUUAGAUUAAAAUGAUGAUAGUGUGUGUGAACUAUGACAGCUACGUAUACGAGCUUUAAAAAGCAAUUGUAGAACAUUACCAACAGAAGACAUAUGUCAAUAAAUACAUCAAGCAAUUAAUGCAAGGUUAUACGGAAUAUUGAUAAAUAUACCACAAACAUGUUUUUUCUAAUUUUAGUAAAAGAAAGAGGAUGAUGAGUAAGGUAUUGUAUCUAAUAGUCUUUCUAUUGUAAAUUAGGUAGUGAGAUGUCCAACAGGUAAUGUCAAAAGUUACCGAGAUCCCCAUCAUAUACGCCGUACGCAAUGCAUGAUAGAAUUUCGAUGGAUAGAUUACAAACGAGUGUUGAGGAUUAUUUUGGUGCACGACGGCACACCGAUAGCUAACUGAUGAAGCAAGGAAUCUGCUAUCAGGGGCUCACAGCGGUGCGAGGUUAUGCCAGAGGCUUUGGAGUCCACGACGCGCGCUCUACGUCAAAUCCUGUAGGAGGGGAAUUGGCGAUUCCGCUCUGAGUAUGCUCUAGUUAUGGUGAAACUUCUCUUAUGCCUUGGACUGACCCCUUUGGAUCCCUUUUAUAGGGUCCUCGGGGGAGCAGUCCGCGGAGGGCAUCGCGCCCGGCCCUAAUGGUGCCCGUUAAUGGUGCAUUAAUGGCGUGGAAUGGCAACAAGUAACGCUCAUAAAUCGGCGAUUCCGGUGGGAUCGGCAAUUCGCCACUGAAAUCGGCGAUUCAGGUGGGAAUCGGCGAUUUGGUAGCCCAAUCGGCAAUUCACGGGGUUAACUUGAAGAUUUGACGACGACCUUUGUUUCGCAACCGUGGAGCCCUGGAUUCCGGCAUAAAGCGACAGAACCCUAGUCCUUGUUGAAGGGCGUUGCUGGGAGUGAUGAAACACGAAAUCUGCUACCAGUAGGCUCGCGGGGUUGCGAGGAGGGCCGGAGGCUUUGGAGUCCACGACGCGCUCUACGUCAAUGUACCUACAGAAGUGGAGGGGAAUCGGCGACUCUCUUGGGAGUAGGCGAUUCGGGCUCCUUGGAUUGCUCUGGUGUGGUGUGGUCAAGUGGGAAUGACUUGAGAGUAGAGGACCCCCAAGGACCCCUUUUAUAGGGUCUUGGGGGACGUUUCCCCAUUCAUUAGCGUGGGGCCCACCCCAUUAUGGUGUCCUAUUGAAGGGUGACAUAAUGACGUGGGCCCUCCCAAGUAAUGGCUGGGAAUCGGCGACUCAGGUAUGGGAGUCGCCGAUUUAAAGGUGGAGUCGCCGACUCCCCAUGAGCCAAGUUGGCAGUCUACGAGAACUGACGAGGCCUAGAGUCGGCGAUUCACCCCUGGAGUCGGCGAUUUGGUAGUCCCAGUCGGCGAUUCCCAGGUGUUUCCUUGAGUACUUGACGUAGACACUUCCUCUGCAUUUGUGGAACUCUCCGGGGGUCCGGCAUAAAGCGACGGAACCCUAGUCCUUGUUGAAGGGCGUUGUUGGGAGUGACUGACGUAGUCAGGCAUGUCUUACCAGUACUCCCCCCUGAAGAGAGCAUGGAAAAACACGUGUGUACCACCAGUAUUCCCCCCCAAGCAAGGUGAUCCGCAUCAAGGCCAAAGCGACAAGAUGGGAUUGAGUCAUUGCGCUCACAGUGACACUAAUGACUCUGCGUGGUCCAUGCACUAUCAGAUGGACUGAUUCACUAUUAGAAUCUAGUUCUAGUCCAACAGAACUACAUGUUUAUAGUCCUACUCUGAUCAGGAGCGACUUUUGCUGUGGAUUCUGGCCGAAGCGUCAGAAUGGGUGGAUUCAGUGUUAGAAACUGAUUAUUGCCGAAGGAAGCGACAGAAUGCGUGGAUUCACUAUUAGAAUCGGGUUCUGGCCAAAGCGACAGAAUGUGUGGAUUCUGGCCGAAGCGAUAAAAUGCGUGGAUUCCGGCUGAAGCGACAUAAUCUAGUUCACUAUCAGAACUGAUGUUUAUAGUCCACUCUGAUCAAGAGCGACUUUACGUCCGCAACGACGGCUACCCCAUAGGCCAAAGCGCAAGAUGGGUCGAGAUCAUUAAGGCCGAAGCGACAAAAUGAUCUCCAAGUGUCGAAGAAUUAUUGAAGCCAAAGCGACAACAUAAUUCUUGGUCCAUUAAGGCCAAAGCGACAAAAUGGACCUGGAUCUAUUAAGGCCAAAGCGACAAAAUAGAUCCGAUUCUGGCCGAAGCGACAGAAUCAUGCCUGCAAAACAAAAAACAACCUGCAAAACAACUAUAUCAGUCUAAAGGAUAUAUUUAUUGAUUUACUGACCUUGCCGUGUGGAGCUGCCUCUUAUGCUCCUCCUCCUUAUGCUCAAUAAAUCUUUGAUUGAUCUGGCCGAAGCGGCAGAUCUAUCAUGCUCAAAAAUGUGACAGCUUCUGGCCGAAGCGACAGAAGUGCAGGGAGAACUUGUGAUACUCCCCUUGGAUUUCGACGACUUCUGGCCGAAGCGACAGAAGUGUCAGAAAGAGCUUGUGAUACUCCCCCUUGAGAUCAUUAAGGCCGAAGCGUCAAAAUGACCUCUGGUCUAUCAAGGCCGAAGCAAUGAGAUAGAUCGACUCACUAUUAGAGUCUGACUCACUAUCAGAGUCUGGUUCACUAUUAGAACCUGGUUCACUAUUAGAACCUUUCCUGCAAAAAAGAAAACAUCCUGCAAAACAACUAGAUCAGUCCAAAAACACAUAUUUAACUUAUUGAACUUACCGUGUGAUUUUACCUUCCUUGAUGCCUCUUCUUUGCUCAAUAAAUCCUUGGUAAAUCUGGCCGAAGCGACAGAUUUUACCAUGCUCAAUUUUUGACGAUUUCUGGCCGGAGCGACAGAAGUGUCGGGAGAGCUUGUGAUACUUCCCCCGAAAUUUGACGACUUCUGGCCGAAGCGAAAGAAGUGUCGGGAGAGCUUGUGAUACUCCCCCUCGAAAUGUGAUGAAUUCUGACCGAAGCGACAGAAGCGUCGGGAGUACUUGUGAUACUCUCCAUUGAAAAUGUGACGACUUCUGGCCGAAGCGACAGAAGUGUCGGGAGAGUUUGUGAUACUCUCCAUUGAAGCGAUUGUUAAUGGGCUAUCUUUUGUUUUAUUGCUAAUCUUUCAUAUAAAUUACCCUUUAAAUUGUAACUAAGGCCCGAAACUAGAUNNNNNNNNNNNNNNNNNNNNNNNNNNNNNNNNNNNNNNNNNNNNNNNNNNNNNNNNNNNNNNNNNNNNNNNNNNNNNNNNNNNNNNNNNNNNNNNNNNNNGAGUACUUGUGAUACGCUCCAUUGAAAAUGUGACUACUUCUGGCCGAAGCGACAGAAGCGUCGGGAGUACUUGUGAUACUCUCCAUUGAAAAUGUGACUACUACUGGCCGAAGCGACAGAAGCGUCGGGAGUACUUGUGAUACUCUCCAUUGAAAAUGUGACGACUUCCAUCCCAAUUGACAGAAGUGUCGGGAGAGUUUGUGAUACCUCCCCUCGAAAUGUGACGACUUCUAUCCAAAUUGACAGAAGUGUCGGGAGAGUUUGUGAUACUCUCCAUUGAAAAUAUGACGACUUCUGGCCGAAGUGACAGAAGUGUCGGGAGAGCUCGUGAUAUUCCCCCUCUUGUAAUCGUAGCUCAGUCUACGGCUAAACUCGUGAAAUAAAUUAAACUUCACAACUAACUUAAGACUCGCAAAGUUAAUUGACGUAAUAAGUUGGAGAUACAAAAAUUAUCGGGAAUAAGACUUAGAACUUUUUUGAGAACCUAAGAUUCUAGAUUUCAUUCCCUAAUGUGUAGUUGAGCUCUGGCCGAAGCGACAGAGUAACUUUUGGACCCGCAUCAAGGCCAAAGCGACAAGAUGGGGUAGGAUCNNNNNNNNNNNNNNNNNNNNNNNNNNNNNNNNNNNNNNNNNNNNNNNNNNNNNNNNNNNNNNNNNNNNNNNNNNNNNNNNNNNNNNNNNNNNNNNNNNNNNNNNNNNNNNNNNNNNNNNNNNNNNNNNNNNNNNNNUACCCAAAUGUAGUUGAACUCUGGCCGAAGCGACAGAGUAACUUUUGGAUCCGCAUCAAGGCCAAAGCGACAAGAUGGGAUGAGAUCAUUAAGGCCAAAGCGACAAAAUAAUCUCCAAGUCUAUCAAGGCCAAAGCGACAAGAUAGAAGAAUUAUUGAGGCCAAAGCGACAAAAUAAUUCUUGGUCCAUUAAGGCCAAAGCGACAAAAUAGAUUUCUAAUGUAGGGUACUAGUUAGAGUCGUAGGUAGUGAUUUCGAAAGAGUAUCACAAAAAUAAAAUCUAAGUAUUCUAUUUUUUAACUUGUACUAGCAUAGAGACUAAGAGACUACAAUUUAGGACUACAAUUCUAGACUUGAACCCUGGUGUAUUAGUCAAGCUCCGACCAUAGCGACAGAGUGACUCUCGAUCCUUAUCAAGGCCAUAGCGACAAGAUGGGAUAGGAUCAUUAAGGCCAAAGCGACAAAAUGAUCCUUGGUCUAUUAAGGCCAUAGCAACAAAAUAGAUUGAAAACGAGGGUAUCGUUGAUUGUAGUCGAAAAUUUAGAAUCUCGGGGCUAGAUUUGUAAAUGAGAGUCCAAUUUAGAUUCUUAAGUCGCAUUUUGGACUCAUAAAUCGUAAACUAGACUUGUGAUCGCAAUUUAGCCACUCUGGACGUAAAUUGGAUUUUGUAACCAUUGCUUAGACUCGCGGGUCGUAAGCUAGGUCUGAGCAACGGGUAUCAUCCAGCCAAAGCGAUGGAUGAUACAUGAAGUUGAAGAGACGGAUGUCAUCUAGCCGGAGCGAUGGAUGAUCGAUCCGUCUGAAGCGAUGGAUGAUUAUUCUAAAUACGAUACUGCAUAUAUCUCUAUGGAUUAAAGAGAAAUUUAUUUAGAAUAAUAUCGCUAUUGAGAAUACAUGAGAAUAUGAGCGACAAACAAAAGAAUUAACGUAUUUUUUGGUCGCUGGUUGCCACUGACAGAAGCAUAGCCUGCAUGGUUACUCCGGCCAAUCCUAUCUCUUAACAGGUGAUAGUUCCUUACUACGAGCGUGAUGUACUUGAUUACGAAUGUGAACUGUGGCUCUGGUUGCCAUCACUGUCAUAGGAUUGAGAGCGUGGGCUAUGGUCAUAACUGUUACUGGGCCGAGAGUAUGAGCUAUGGCUUUCUUGGCCAUAACUGUUACCAGACUGAGAGUAUGAGUCAUGACUUUGGUGGUCACAACUGUUGAUGAAAAGCUCCUCUCUGUAUCGAGGAGGACUAGUCGAGAUUUCAGACUGGGAACUUGUAUCCUCGUAUGUAUCUUCUUUAGCAUAGCGAGGUUUUUUUCCGGUUGGUCGGCUCGACUCCGCCCAACUUAUUAUUGUUCUCCUCUUCUAUAUCAAUGAACGAUUGAGCUCGUUGGAAGAGGUCGGGGAGGGUCUCCACUUUAUGGAGCGUAAGGUUUUGGGCCAAAGGGGAGUAGGGUAUUAGCCCAUUCAUGUACCCCGCUAUGGCCAGACUCGGGAUUAGGUCGUUCACUUCUGUCAUCAUCGAAGUNNNNNNNNNNNNNNNNNNNNNNNNNNNNNNNNNNNNNNNNNNNNNNNNNNNNNNNNNNNNNNNNNNNNNNNNNNNNNNNNNNNNNNNNNNNNNNNNNNNNAAAUAGAAAAUUUUUGUACAAUAUUUCUUUGUAGUUUUGUGACCCCCUUGAGCAGUACUACUAGUCCCCAAAGUUUGAAAUUAGCAAAAAAUAUCGGAAUUUUUUUGCAAUUUUUUUGCAGAAAAUCAUGCUGCCGGAGGUGGUUUUCGGGAUGCCUGUUUAGACUUAUCCCAGAAAAGAUUCCUUACACUGUUGGGAAAUUCAGCUCUUCUGUACUUGUAGAGAAAACUUUUUUCACAUGAAGUGUGGUCGUAGAAUCCCAAAAUCAGAUCUGGGUAUUCAGGAGGUGGACCGACAAAAUCACUGGUAGUGAAAAAAGGUAAAAAGCCCCAUACUCAGCCGAUGCGAGUCUAGCCAAAGCGAUGGAUUUUCGUUUCGGUAAAAGAGCUGGGCUAUGCGUGGUCUUAUUCAGCCGAAGCGAUGAAUGAAGACAAUGACCGAGUCGACAAUUCAAGUGUGGGAAUCGCCGACUCAGGUGUGGGAGUCGGCGAUUCAAUUGUGGGAAUCGCCUACUCAGUGUGGUCUUAUUCAGCCGAAGCGAUGAAUGAAGACGAUGACCGAGUCGACAAUUCAAGUGUGGGAAUCGCCUACUUAGUGUGGGAGUUGGCAAUUCAAUUGUGGGAAUCGCCUACUCAGUGUGGGAAUCGUCGAUUCCCAGGAUAGGUGAUUUUCUAUGAAAAAUCCAACCUAUGUGAAAGUGUAAGUACCAGUGUAAAAGGCAUUGAUAGCACUUGCUCAAAAAGCUAAAGGAAUCGGCGACACCCUAUGUGGAGUCGGCGAUUCAACUUAUUGUCUUUUUGAACCAAGCCGUGGACAACACUCUUAGCUAGCAGAAUAACCCGGAAUCGGCGACUCACUAGGUGGAGUCGUCGAUUGCCUGUGUGAAUCGGAGAUUCCUUGACACAAAGUCAGCGAUUCACCCUAAGGGAAUCGAGCCGAACUUUGCGAAGAAAAAUUCGCGAUUACGACGGGAUAUCGUAGUUCGAUAGUCCCACAGACGGCGCAGGCUGAUGAAGCACGAAAUCUGCUACCAGUAGGCUCGCGGGGUUGCGAGGAGGGCCGGAGGCUUUGGAGUCCACGACGCGCGCUCUACGUCAAUGUACCUACAGAAGUGGAGGGGAAUCGGCGACUCUCUUGGGAGUAGGCGAUUCGGGCUCCUUGGAUUGCUCUGGUGUGGUGUGGUCAAGUGGGAAUGACUUGAGAGUAGAGGACCCCCAAGGACCCCUUUUAUAGGGUCUUGGGGGACGUUUCCCCAUUCAUUAGCGUGGGGCCCACCCCAUUAUGGUGCCCUAUUGAAGGGUGCCAUAAUGACGUGGGCCCUCCCAAGUAACGGCUGGGAAUCGCGACUCAGGUAUGGGAGUCGCCGAUUCAGAGGUGGAGUCGCAGACUCCCCAUGAGCCAAGUUGACAGUCUACCAGAACUGACCACGAGGCCUAGAGUCGGCGAUUCACCCCUGGAGUCGGCGACUUGGUAGUCCCAGUCGGCGAUUCCCAGGUAUUUCCUUGAGUACUUGACGUAGACACUUCCUCCGCAUUUGUGGAACUCUCCGGGGGUCCGGCAUAAAGCGACGGAACCCUAGUCCUUGUUGAAGGGCGUUGCUGAGAGUGACUGACGUAGUCAGGCAUGUCUCAACAAGGAGUGACUGACGUAAUCAGGUAUGUCUCACCAAUAGCUUACCUGAAUAUUUUUAUAUAUAUAUAUAUAUAUAAUUUAUCCAAUUACUUAGACUAUUAGGUAUUAAGGAAUUAACUACUAUAUAUAUAAAUACAAUUUAAUGUAAAAUAUGAUUUUGAUUGAGUAAAAGAAUUUCUUUAACAUUUCUAUGAGCACACACUAGAGUAAUAAUAAGGUGACAAUUAUAUUGUAAUGUAGUUAAUAUAUAGUAUAUAUAAUAUUUAAAACUAAAUCUAAAAGAAAUACUCACAACUAACUAAAUAUCUAAUUACUAGUUAACCUCUCAUACUCCCUCCCAAAAUGAACAGAGUUAAAAAAAAUUUUUUUUAAAAUUCUUAACUUAUUUAUGUAGCCACACAUGAACCACACUUUUUAACUCUUUAUUUUGAGCAUUUCUCAGCAACACUUUUUAGUAACCAACAAUUAACUCAAAUACUACUUUAGAACAUGAUUACAACAAACCCAGAGUGAGAUUCAUACUCUUGUUCAUCUUUCUAAUUUAUUUUCUCUAGGAAACCCUCUCAUCAAUUCAAUUAAUAAAAUCUAGCCAAGCCAAUCUCAGUUGUCAUUCUCUAAGUUUGUUUUAAUUCAUAUUCCUGUAUCAUAUAAUAACAGCACAUACAAAAAAAAUCAGACACAAUAAAAUACACAAUAUAAUAUUAGAAUAAUACUUAAUUUGUCGAAUUCUUGUAAAAUCCCAAAUUUGGACAGUAACAAAUGUUCAAUUUCUUACUCAAUUCCAGAAACCUUUCAACUCCCAAGCUCAUAGUAAAAAAAUCUGCCAAUUGCCCAACCGAUGGAACAAAUUUUAAUUCUAAUGCUCCUCUUUGAAAUAUUUCCCUAACAAAAUUGUUAGAUGCCAAGAAUAUUGCUGAACAAUUAUCACAAAAUACGAUAGGAGGGAUAAUUGGUAUAUUUAAAUCUCUACAUAGGAAUGAGCACCAUCUAAUAUCAGCUAUUGUAUAUGCAAUUAACCGGUACUCAGCUUCUGCACUCGAUCUGGAUAUCGUUGCUUGUUUCCUUGAUGACCAUAGAAUUAGAUUGUUUCCUAAAAAUACACAAAUCUCUAUUACAGAUCUUUUGUCAUUUAGAUCUCCUGCGAAGUCGGAGUCAUACAAGGCUAAUAAUCUGUUUGUUGAUGAUUUAGUAAUGUGUAGUCUUUUAAGAAUUGUUCCUUUGACCAAUCUUAGAAUUCUUUUGGCUGCAUUCAUGUGAACUGAUUUAGGUGCUUGUAGAAAUUGUGAAACCUGAUUGACAUGAUAUGCCAGAUCUGGUCUAGUUAAGGUUAAAUACUACAAGGAUCCUAUCAGCAUCCUAAAUGGAGUUGGGUGAUCUAAUAAAGAUCUUUCACUGUUUGAUAAUUUUGUCUCUACAGGUGUUGGUGAUCUCCAUGGCUUGCAAAAUGUCAUAUUAUAUUUCUUAAGCUAAUCCAAAGCAUACCUUGCUUGAGUUAACAUCAAUGAUCCAUCAUUUUUCUUUGUGACUUCUAUUCCUAAGAUUGACUUAAUAAUUCUAAAUCUCUACAAUGAGAUUCAUUACAAAUACUUUUUAUCACUUUUUGAAUAACAUCAUUAUUGUCUCCUGUUAUGAUAAGAUCAUCUACGUAAACUAAUAUCCAAAUAUGUUAUCUAUACUCAUUCUAUACAAAUAACGAGGGAUCAACCAUACUAUUUUUAAAACCAAUGUGAAUUAAGAAAUCACGUAGACAUGAAUACCAUGAUCUAGGUGCUUGUUUUAAACCAUAAAUUGCCUUAUUUAAUUUACAAACAUAACCUGAAAAUUUAGUACUAAUAUACCCUGGAGGUUGCUUCAUGAACACUGUUUCAUGUCAUUCCCCUUGCAAAAAGGUAUUUUUAACAUCUAAUUGUCUCAACAUAUAACCUCUGGAGACUGCAAUAGAGAGCACCAUACAAAUUGUAGGUGAUUUUACUACUGAGCUACUUUCGUCGACCCUCGUAAUACAUGGCGGAAAUCCACCACUACAUCUAAACCCUCGUAAACCUUCGUAGGCGGAAUCGCAAUUUAUUAAUGACGGAUUUCCAUCAUACGUUGUUUGAAGAAUUUUUUUAAAACAGAAUAAUUAAAUCGUUUAUUUUAGAAUAAGUUUUAAAACAUAAUUUUGAAAUUAGAAUCGAUAAUUUGAAAAUAAGAUUCGAUGUUUUUAUUUAAAUCGAUAGUAACAAAAGUUAAACAUCAUUCGAAUUUAGAUAGUAGACUCACUAUUCGUCCGAAAUAGAGUCGUCGAAAUCUGAACUAGAAUGAUCUGAUACCAAUGCAGACGGUAUUAGGUUUGACCUCAAAAUAGAUGGAAUGUUCGUCAAGUCCAUUCCGGAAGCUUAGAAUGGUUCAGUCAUCGCCAUCAUUGUAGUUCUCAUCGACUCCAAAUCUUUGUUUAUCUUGUAGAAUAUUUUCUUACUCUUUUUUUGCGCGUUCUGAAAUUUAAAAUAUAAAUGAGUUCGAAAAUUUAUGAAAUUAAUUUAAAAUACCUUCUCCAUUUAUGUCGUCCACAUUUGACGCCCUUCAUUAGGUAUAGACGUAUUUUCUAAGAUGUCUUUUCGUUUCCAAUCAGGGUGAUAUAUGGUGUGCUGGCUCACGCUAAGGGACUCGCACACACAACUCUCUAGUGUUCUGUCUUGAUAAUUCUUAACCCCCUCCCCUGUUGGACCAGGGGAGGUAUUUAUAGAACAUCUUCUUGGACCUUCUGGGUCUUAUGAUGUAUUCGUCCCUUGGUUCGUCUGGACGGGCCUUGGUACCAACACAGGGGAAGGCCAUCUUUCGUUGGUUGUAUUAACCAUACUUGCUGCUUCUCUAAUCCCCAUUAUCUGAUUUUUUAUUUUCCCCAAACGAUUUAUUUACACACAAGGAAUGCCAUUAUGCCCAUUCGCACCCUCCACAUCUCAGACUCGAUUCAUCUUUGUAGUAGUAGAAUACUUUACAAAGUGGGUAGAAACCCAAGCGGUAGCAAAGAUCACUUAAGAUGCGGCAGUCAAAUUCAUCUACCGCUUCAUAGUCUGCCGAUUCGGAAUCCCCCAACACAUUGUCAAGGAUAAUGGCACAUAAUUUACAGGAGGAAAAUUUUCAAGAAUGUGUGAGGACCUGGGCACCAAACUUCACUUCGUUUCCGUUUACCGACCUCAGGCAAACGGGUAAAUGGAAGUAACCAACAAGACCAUCAUACAAAGUUUCCUGGGCAAUAUCGCAUAAUAAUUAAAAACUCACAGGCAAUACUACCUUUGCUAUGACUUAUGGAGUGGAAGCUGUCAUACCAAUCGAGAUGAGUAUACCAACAUACAGGGUCUCGAAUUACGACGAACAAACCAAUGACCAAAACCUAGAAAUAGAGCUAGCAUUAAGGGAGGAAACCCAUGACGAGGUGAACCUGUGGAAUGAAUCGUACAAGCCCAGCAUAUCAAGAUACCAUAAUCGCCAAGUACGAAAAAAGGUAUUCCUACCAGGAACUCUCGUCACGCGGAAGGCUAGCAUAACAGAAGGGAAUAGACUAAGAAAUAAACUGUCAUCCAACUUCGAGGGACCCUACAUCGUCGAAGAAGAGAUACGGCCAGACACCUAUCGCUUGCUGCGGCAAGACGGGACUAUGGUCCCGAACACCUGGCACGCGGACAACAUUCAACAAUACUACGCUUAGUAUUCAUCACAUAACUUUUAUUUUUUAGGUUUUCCUAGUAUGUAAAUGAUAAUGGCAAAACUCAAUUCAAUAAAAACAUAAAAACGAUAAGAAGUGACAAUGGUCUUGAAUUUGUUUCAAAACAAAUGAUAGAUAUGUUAGCUGAAUAUGAAAUAAUUCAGCAACUAUCUUGCCCAUAUUCUCUCCAACAGAAUAGUAGGGUAGAAAGGAAGCACAAGGAUUUUCUCAACAUAGAUAGAGCAAUCAAAAUUCAGGCUGGAAUACCCAUCAAAUUUUGGGGAUUAUGCAUACUAAGUGCCUCACACAUACUUAAUUGACUACAUUCUAUAACUCUUAAAAAUAAAACUCCUUUUCAAGUUUUAAAUGGAAGAUUACCUGAAUAUAUAUAAUCAUCAAAAAACACAAAUAAUACAUAAAUAAGUCUUUGCUAUGCAAAUAAUACAUCAAGAAUACAUAAAUUUUCACCUAGAGCCAUAGAAGGUGUAUUUCUAGGCUACCCUCAAGGAACCAAGGGAUACCUAAUCCUUGACCUUAAAAAUAAUAAAUUCAUAAUAAGCGGAAAUGUGAUUUUUUAAAGAAAAUAUCUUUCCAUUCAAAAUAUUAAAAUAGAAAAUCAAAGAUCAAAAUAAUAAUAGGAACAUAUAUACAAUAUUUGAUAAUUAUAUACCACAAUAUACAAGUAAAAAUUUAAAUAAUUCAUUUGAUAACUCAGAACAAAACCUUCAUUAUUUAACUAAUAAUGAAACAAGUUCUGAAGAAAAAACAGAACAAGAGUCUAAUCUGAACACAAAUUCAGACAAUGAUAUUAAUGAUCAUUUAAAUAUAGAACAAAUAAUUCCAGAACAAACCGUUGAAAACAAUUAAACAAUUGAUUCAAAUCAAGAGUUAGAUUGCAUAUGCAGAUCCUUUAAUGAUCUGUCAAUCUCAGAAAAUCAAUCAAAAGAAAUUGGUCAAAAGGAAAAUAUUUUAAAUGAAGCUAUUUCAAAAUUAAAUAAAUCAACUUCAUUAAUACUGGCUAAUAAAUCAAAACCAGGACAAGGAAUCAUGAUUUCAAGAAAUGGUCCUUUAGAACUAAAAGCAAUUGUGAUGCUGAUUGGGCCUCCUUUACACUAAGGAUAUGAAGGAUAGGACGACCCGUAAGGAUAUCUGGUGCCGAAUGUUCCGGAGAGCACUCACGGAGGAUGCAAUAGCUUGGUACAGAACACUCCCCCCGGGUCACUCCAUACUUUCGAGGACCUGGAAAGAACUUUUCUGGCGGCUUUCACUCAUAAGCGGAGGAGACCCAAGAACCAGGCCACCUUCAGCGCCACGAUACAGAAGGAUUUCGAAUGCACGCGUGAGUACAUGGACCGCUUCGCAAACGAUAUUGUACACGCUCACCACCAGCCUCAGGCCAACGUUCUUCGCGGGGGAUCUCGUCCGAAAGCCACCGAAAACGUUUGCGGAGGCCAUGGAGAGGUCCCACGGGGAGGCUAACGGGGAGGAAUACCUGGGGGCACUGACGCAGCAAUACAACAAGCGUCAGCAGAAGGCCAGAGGUCCCCCGUUCGGGGAAGGGGGAAGUAACAAUAGCAGCCAAAGGCCUCCGUGUCACCACAGUCAGCGGCAUGCAGACCCACCGCGGCCAACUGCGAACCUGCCGUGGUAAACCAGAGGCAAGUCUUCAUUACCCUGGGAGGGGGGGUCGGAAACCUCCCACCAGCGGGGUCCAUGUGGAAGGAUUCAGCGGCCUACAGGGUUGAAAACAGGUUCUUCGAAUACCACCAGGACAAAGGGCAUACGACGGAUGAAUGCUUGAACCUAGCCAAGGUACUGGGAAAGCUGAGCGCCGCACCGGAAGCCAGUGGUAGAGGUCAUCCCUACAGGACACCGGGUGCCCAAGCAAGAACCUGUAGAGGAGCGAGUGGGGGAUAUCUUGACAAUAGCCGGUGGAGGCGUAUCGCGGGGUACGGACCCGUGGGAAGGGCGUCGAUACGUCGCAGACGUGGACCGAAUAAACGGAGAGAAGCGCCCACGUUUGCAGGCAAAAAUCAUAUUCAUCGAGGCGGAGAUGAAGGAUCUCACCACCCACCACGACGACCCCCUCGUAGUGACCUCCAUUUUCCAAAAGAAGGACAAAACUAGCGUGUGGCUACACAGACUCCUGGUCGACACAAGAGCGUCGGUGGACAUCCUGUACUGGAACGCUUUCGUCGACCUAGGCCUUGCCCGCACUCACUUGCUCCUGAGUAGAGCACCGAUCAGGGGAUUAGGGCAGGCAGAGGUCCCAGUGGCAGGCGUGAUAACGGUCCCGGUGAUGCUAGGUCGUCACGCCCAAGCAAAACAGUGGAGGUCAGUUUUCCAUUGGUGAACUUCACCUCGAGCUACAACGCCAUCUUGGGGAGAGCGGCAUUGCAUACAUACCAGGCAGUGAUGUCAUCCCUCAACCAGUGCCUCAAGUUCCCGACUAAGGCCGACGAGUGCUACUUUAACUCGGUAGGGGAGGUAAUGACCUCAGACGAGGGACUACCACACGCGUUGUAGGAGGAACCCCCAAAACCAGAGCCGACAUCCUCGACGACGCUAUUACCCCUUGCGUAAAGUGAAGUGCGCGUGGGAAAAAACCUCCCGCGGGAACUGAGGAGGGGGCUAGAAGACCUCCUCAGAAGGAACAAGGACUUGUUCGCGGGUGAGAACUUGGGGAGUGGCCCGGACGACAGCAGAGCACAUGCUCGCAGUCACCACGGGGGACUGGUCAGUCCGGCAGAAGCUAUGGCUGCUGAGGGUCGAAAAAACGGACGCGGCUGAAGCCAUAGUCACAAAACUCCUGGACGCAGGAUUCAUCCGCCUGGUACAGUACCCAGAGUUGUUAUCCAACGUCGUAAUGAUCAGGAAGGAGGACGCGGGCUGGCGCAUGUGCGUCGAUUUUACGAUCCUCAACAAGGCGUGCCCCAAGGACAACUACCCGCUGCCUUCAGUCGACAGACUGGUGGGACCAGAGAUCGGGUUGCGAAAUGUUGAGCUUCAUGGACGCACACUCCGGGUACAACCAAGUGCCCAUGGCCUGGGGGGACGAGGAAAAGUCUUCGUUCAUUACCGACUUGGGCACAUUCUGCUUUAGGGUGAUGCCGUUCGGGCUAAGAAAUGCCGGAGCGACAUUCCAAAUGUUGAUGGGCAUGGUCUUCGAGGAACAGAUCGGCAGGAACGUGGAGGUGUACGUAGACGACAUACUCGUCCUAUCAAAGAGGGCGGAAACACACCUGGCCGACCUGGAGGAAACAUUCCGGAAUAUCAAAAACGCGGCCUUAAAACUAAAGGCAAAGAAGUGCGAGUUCGUGGUGAACGAGGGCCACUUUUUAGGUUUCAAAAUCACCCCGGAGGGCAUCAAGCCCAGGAAGGAGAAGGUGGAGGCCGUCGUGGGAAUGACCCUCCCACGGACCAUAAAGGCGGUCCAGAAGUUGAACGCAGAGUAGCAGCCCUUAGACGUUUCCUACCAAGAGCAGCGGACCGUCUGCGCCCGUUUUUACAACUGCUAUGGUCACCCGACCCCAGGAUGGUUUGGACAGCCGAAUGCGAAAGGGCGUUCGGGGAAUUGAAAAGACAGCUAGCCCACCUGCUGACGCUCCGCCCGCCCGUGCGAGGCGAGCCACUCACGAUGUACGUCGCCUACUCGGACGCAGUCGUCAGUGCGGUACUCCUGUCGGAGGCAGACGACGCUCAGAGGCCGGUGUACUACUACUCCCGGUUGCUACAAGGGGCAGAGGAAAGAUACUCGGACAUCGAGAAGCUGUCCCUGGCGGUAGUUUCGGCCGUCCGAAGGCUGAAGCCAUACUUCCACGCCCACACGGUAACCAUCCCAACGGCGCACCCACUGCUUCAGCUGCCACAGAAGCCCGACUUCUCCGGGCGCCUCACAAAGUGGGCCAUGGAGCUCAGCGAUUUCAACAUAAAGAUUAUUCUAGCCAAGGCGAUAAAGGGACAGGCCGUAGCUGACUUCAUGGCCGAAUUCACCCCUCGAUGGCCGAUCCCAACAGAGGAGAAAUGGUGGACGGCCCACGUCAACGGCUCAGCUAGCAACGCGGGCUGCGGCGCCGGGACGGUAAUAAGAGCCUCCACUGGGGAAAAAAUUGAAUACUCGAUACACUUCGGCUUUCGAGCGACCAACAACGCAGCCAAAUACGAGACCCUCCUAGCCAGAAUCAGACUGGUCUCGACACUCGGGGCGACAAAAAUACACCUCCACACUGGGUCGCAAACCAAGUAAGGGGAGAAUUCGUAUCCAAGGAGGACUCGAUGUCGGCCUACGUGGCAGAGGCUCGGGCCGCGCUAGACGACUGGAAAAUCACCAAUGUAGGGAGAGAAAACAACGGGGAAGCGUACAUGCUAGCCAAGUUGGGGGCAUCCCCAGGAAGGCCGGAGGGCAGAUGUGUUCGGAUCGAGAACCAAGAACACUCGACGUGGUCCAGGGGAUUGGAGGACUCCUAUCUUGAAGUUCCUCGAGUCGGGCGAGAAACCAACGGACCUGAUGGAAGCCAGGAAGAUGAAAAACCUGGUAGCAAUGUUCGUGGUCGCUCGGGUCAAGCUGUACCGGCGAUCAACCGCGGAGGAGUCCCCGCGAAGACGGGAAGGGGAUCGUAUGGAGCAUCUACGAGGGAGCGAACGGAGCCCAUCAGGGGGGUCGUGCCCUAGAAAAAUAGGAGGCCAGAAAAGGCUACUACUAGCCAGAGUCCAUAAUGGAUUCAGAGGGAAUAGUGGAAAGGUGUGACGAAUGUCAGCGGCACUCAAACAUUCACAGGCGGCCGUCAACCAUGAUGAAGGCAGUAACAACACCCGUCCCCUUCGCGUGCUGGGGGAUAGACAUCGUGGGCCCUUUUUCCCCAGCUUCGUGAGGAAGGAAGUUCCUAUUUGUUGCAGUAGACUAUUUCACAAAAUGGGCUGAGACAGAGGCCACUAGCGCGAUCACGGAACAGAACGUAGUCAAUUUCGUGUUCAGAAGCAUCAUCUACCGCUUCGGGGUCCCAAUCCAAAUAAUAACAGGCAACGGGACGCAGUUCACAGGGAAGAAACAAAAAGAAUUCUGUGAGGAUUGUGUAAUAGAGUAAGCUUUUCCCCGGUCUACCACCUACAGGCGAAAGGCCAAGUGGAGGUAAUGAACCGCAAAUUGUGUCCUUCCUGAAAAGAAAGGUGGACGAGUACCCGAGGACGUAGGCUGAUAAAAUUUCGGAAACUGGUGAGACAAGCCUGAUUAUGGCAGUCACUCCCAGCAACGCCUUUCAACAAGGACUAGGGUUCUGUUGCUUUACGGUGGACCCCCGGAGAGCUCCCACGGUUCGGAACAAAAUCAUCGUCCAAAUCGCUGAGUUAACCUGUAAGUCGCGAUUUGACUACCAAGUCGCCGAGUUAGGGCCCAGAUCGGCAGUAUGGUAGAUUGCACAUCUCGCCCCUAGAAACUCGGCGAGUUUGCCCUAAAUAGGCGAUUUUCAUACCUGAAUCGCCGAGUUACGACCGUUACUCGCUGCCAGCCAACGCCAUAAAUGCUCCCAUAUAUAGUAAUAGUCGCGAUGUCCGCCUUUGAUCGCGCCCUCCAAGACACUAUAAAAAGGGUCCCAAGGGGACACUCAAAGGCACAACACAAGUUCCACUCUCACCAGAGCAUCACUAAGAAACUCGCCGAUUCUCACUAGAAUCGCCUAGUUUCCACUUGCAGGUAUUUGACGUAGAGCGCGUCGUGGACUCCAAAGCCUCCAGCAUCACCUCGCACCACCGCGAGUCCUAGUAGCAGAUUCAGUGCUUCAUCAGCUGGUGCCGUCUGUGGGACUACUGAACCACCAUUAUCCCAUCGUAAUCGCGAUUUUUUUUGCAAAGUCCGGCUUGAGCUCUCUCGGAGGGUUCGUCGACUUUGUUAACUAAGUCGCCGAUUUAAAUCAACAAUAGCCGAUUCUCGGUUCAGGUCCGAUUUAUUCUUAAAUCGCUGACUUAGCCUUGAGAAUCGCCCGAUCCGGAAUAUCGUCUGCUAAGCUAAGAGUGAUGUCCACAACUCUGUUCAAAAACUCCCAAAGUCAAAGUCGCCGAUUUAGAUCCCUAAAUCGUCGAUUCUUUCUUUGUUUUCUGAACAAGCUCGGUCAAGUCAUCCUUUGCUUUGGAACUUACGUCUUCGCAUAGGUUGGAUUUUUCCCUAGCAAAAAUCGCCUAUUUAGGGGCAAACUCGUCCAUUCGAUCAUCGUCUUCAUUCAUCGCUUUGGCUGAAUAAGAUUACUCAUAGCCCAACUGUUUGACCGAAACGAAAAUCCAUCGCCACGGUUGGAUUCACCUUGUCGUUUCGUUAAAAAAAAAGUAUGGGGUUUUUCGCCUUUUUUCACUACCAGUGAUUUCGUCGGUCCACCUCCGGAAUUCCCAGAUCCGAUUUUGGGGUUCUGAGACCACAUAUCACGUGAAAAAUGUUUUCUCAACGAGUACCAAAGAGCAGAAUUUCCAAAGAUUGCCAGGAAUAUUUUCUAGGAUAGGUCUAAACUGGCAUCCCAAAAACCAACUCCGAUGGCACGAUUUUCUGCCGAAAAGUUGCAAAAAAUUUACGACAUUUUUAGCUAAUUUCAAACUUUGAGGACUAGUUGUACUCCUCAAGGGAGUCACAAAACUGCAAAGAAAUAUCAUACAAAAUUUUUCUGGUUUGACACCCGGGGCAGGUACCAACCCAUAGCUUCCGACACCUCGGAAGAACUUCUACUCGUUGCCCAUUGCUUCAGCCCAAUAGAAGCAACCAUCCCGGCUAUUUAUGGAUCCUGUUGCUAAGGAUCAGAAGAAAGCUCUUGCCACUACUACUACGGUAAGAGCUUCUAGCAGAAGGGUUGGUCAUCGUACUGUACCAACUUCUAAUUCACCAUCGUCUACACAUGAGGUGUUGGUGAGACAUGCCUGAUUACGGUAGUCACUCGCAGCAACGCCUUUCAACAAGGACUAGAGUUCCGUCGCUUUACGCCGGACCCCCGGAAGGCUCCCACGGUGCGGAACAAGUUCAUCGUCAAAUCGUCGAAUUAACCCGUAAAUCGCGAUUGGACAACCAAAUUGUUGAGUUUAGGGACAAGUCGCCGAGUUAGGGCCCAGAUCGGCAGUAUGGUAGACUGCACAUCUCGCCCCUGGAAACUCGGCGAGUUUGCCCUAAAUAGGCGAUUUCCAUACCUGAAUCAUCGAUUUACGAUCGUUACUCGCCGCCAGCCAAUGCAAUAAAUACGGCAAUAGACGCGAUGUCCACCUUUGAUCAUGCCCUCCGAGACCCUAUAAAAAGGGUCCCAAGGGGACACUCAAAGGCACAACACAAGUUCCACUCUCACCAGAGCAUCACUAAGAAACUCGCCGAUUCUUACUAGAAUCGCCUAGUUUCCACUUGCAGGUAUUUGAGGUAGAGCGCGUCGUGGACUCCAAAGCCUCCAGCAUUACCUCGCACCAUCGCAAGCCCUAGUAGCAGAUUCAGUGCUUCAUCAGCUGGCGCCGUCUGUGGAACUACCAAACCACCGGUAUCCAUUCGUAAUCGCGAUUUUUUAUUUGCAAAGUCCGGCUUGAGCUCUCCCGGAGGUUUCGCCGACUUUGUCAACUAAGUCGCCGAUUUAGAUCAACAAUAGCCGAUUCUCAGCUCAGGUCCGAUUUAUUCUUAAAUCGCCAACUUAGCCUUGAGAAUCGCUCGAUCCGGAAUAUCGUCUGCUAAGCUAGGAGUGUUGUCCACGACUCUGUUCAAAAACUCCCAAAGUCAAAGUCGCCGAUUUAGAUCCCUAAAUCGAUGAUUCUUUCUUUGUUUUUUGAACAAGCUCGGUUAAGUCAUCCUUUGCUUUGGAACUUACGUUUUCGCAUAGGUUGAAAUUUUCCCUAGCAAAAAUCGCCUAUUUUGGGGCAAACUCGCCUAUUUAGGGGCAAACUCACCUAUUUAGGGGCACACUCGUCCAUUCGAUCAUCGUCUUCAUUCAUCGCUUUGGCUGAAUAAGAUCACUCAUAGCCCAGCUCUUUGACCGAAACGAAAAUCCAUAAACACGGUUGGAUUUUACUCGUCGUUUCGGUAAAAAAAAAAAGAGUAUGGGGUUUUUCGCCUUUUUUCACUACCAGUGAUUUCGUCGGUCCACCUCCGGAAUUCCCAGAUCCGAUUUUGGGUUCUGAGACUACAUAUCAUAUGAAAAAAGUUCUCUACGAGUACCAAAGAGCAGAAUUUCUAAAAAGUGCCAGGAAUCUUUUCUGGGAUAGGUCUAAACAGGCGUCCCAAAUUUGUGACAUUUUUUGCUAAUAUCAAACUUUGGGGACUAGUAGUACUCGUCAAGGGGGUCACAAAACUGCAAUGAAAUAUCAUCAAAAAAUUUCUGUUUUGUGACACCUGGGGGGGCCAGGUACCUACCCAUAGCUUCCGACACCUCGGAAGAACUUCUACUCGUUGCCCGUUGCUUCAGCCCGAUAAAAGUAACCAUCCCGGCUAUUUUUGGAUCCUAUUGCUAAUGGUCAGAAGAAAGCUCUUGCCACUACUACUACGGUAAGAGCUUCUAUCAGAAGGGUUGGUCCUCGUACUGUACCAACCUCUAAAGCACCAUCGUCUACACAUGAGGUAUCCUCACCACUCCCACUAAAUGGGGGUGUGAACCCAACUCCGACAACACAGGAGAGGCUUGCGCACAUGCAUGCUCUCAUGUUGAAGUUGGACAAAAGGAUAACCAACUAGAGACUUCAAGGAGGCGGACCACCAUACGAUUUACGACAAGCAAGUCUAACCCACCUUUGAGGAAGAUAAACUUAAGUACACAUCAUCGGUCCGAAUCAAGGAUAUCCAAGGAGCUUCAAGAGCUCAAGGGAAAGAGUGCUGCAAUCUCAGGACGACCCAAAUCCAACUCGUAUCACUCUCCUAUGGGAAACAACUACAGUGAAACAAAAAGAAACAAGCAUCUCGGUUCUCACCACAGGUCCGCAAUACAUCACUCGGGUUUACCCUCGAGUUUCACUACUCGUGCGGAUUACGAUGACACAGUCAUGAAUAGGGUAAUCAAGGAAGUGCUUCGUGAAGACAAGCAUGAUCUAAGGGACCCACAUGAUUUUCUCAGAAUAGGAAGGGCACCCUUUCAUAGGGACCUGAAGAGAAAACCUGCUCCGCAAUCUUGGCGGUGUCCGAAGAUAGACUCGUACGUUGGAACGAUAGAUCCAGAGGAUCAUGUUAACCUCUACCUGAAUAUCUUGGAGCCGCAAACUACAGAAAUGGGUUGUUGUGUCGGGCCUUCCCUGACACUCUGAAAGGCAACGUUUAUCGAAGGUUUUCCCGUCUGCCGGAUGGCUUAGUCUCCAGCUUCGCAGACCUCUCUUCAUAAUUCAUCGCCCAACAUGUGGGGAUGAUCAGAAUAAAACACAGUGCCAACGCACUACUGGCACUACGACAGAACAAGUUGUCUCUGAGGGAUUACACAAUUAAAUUCACUUCGAUAAUGACAGAAGUGAACGACCUAAUACUAAGUCUGGCCAUAGCAGAAUACGUGAGAGGGUUGGUACCCUUCUCCCCUUUGGCCCAGAAUCUAAUGCUCCAUAAAGUGGAGACCCUGCCCGACUUCUUCCAACGAGCUCAAUCGUAUAUUGAGAUAGAAGAGGAGGACAAUGACAAGCUGGACGAACUCGAGCCGUCCAGCCGAAUGAAACGUCGCUAUGCUAAAGAAGAUACAUACGAGGAUACAAGUUCCCAGUCCGAAACCUCGACUAGUCUUCUUCGAUGCAGCAAGGAGUCUCCGGGUAGCAGUUAUGGCUAUCAAAGUCAUACCUCACAACCUAAACCCAAUAGCAGUUAUGGCCACGAAAGUCAUAACUCACACUCUCGGUCCGGUAAUAGUUAUGGCCACCAAAACCAUGGCUCGUGCUCUCAAUCCUAUAACAGUGAUGGCGACCAGAUACACAGUUCACACUCACGGACAAGUGCAUCACGCUAAUAGUGAGGAAUUAUCAUCUGUCAAAAGAAAGAUAGGAUUGGCCAGAGUAACUAGAUAGUCUAUGCAUCCGUCAAUGGCAAACAAACAUCAAAGGAACUCAUCUAUUAUUUUGGUUGUUGCUUCUAUUGUUCUCAACCAUGUAAUAGCGAUAUUAUUCUAAGUAGAUGUCUCCUUUUACCCGUGGAGGUACUAUGCGAUAUGUAUGCCAUAUCAUAUUUAGAAUAAUCAUCCAUCACUUCAGAUGGAUCAAUCACCCAUCGCUUCGGCUGGGUGACAUCCAUCGCUCCGACCUUAUCUAUCAUCUAUUCGACCCACGAGUCAAAGUGAUAGUUACGAAAUCUAAUUUACGACAAAGAGUCUAAAUUACGAUUACAAGUCUAGUUUACGAUUUACGAGUCCAAGGCGCGACUUAAGAAUCUAAAUUAUGACUCUCACGAAUAUUUACGAAUCAAACCCUAAGAUUCCAAAUAUUUACGAAUCUAACUCCUCUUUCAAAAUCUAAUUUAUGACGUACAAGUCUGAGUCGAUUUGGGAAUUGUCUGCGAAUCUGACUGACGGCUGAAUUACGACUCUUAAUUACAACCAAGCUUACGUCCAGAGUGGCUAAGUGGGGGUUACAAAAUCUAGUUUACGGGCUAGAGUGUCUAAAUUACGAUUUACGAGUCUCGAGCCUACGUUACGGUUCUAGGAAUAAUACGGACAAAAGGAUAACCAACCUAGAGGUUUCAAGGAGCCUGACCGCCAUACGAUGUAUGACAAGCAACUCUAGCCCACCUUUGAGGAAGACAAACUUAAGUACACAUCAUCGGUCCGAAUCAAGGAUAUCCAAGGAGCUUCGAGAGCUCAAGGGAAAGAGUCCUGCAAGUUCAGGGCAACCCAAAUCCAACUCGCAUCACUCUCCUAUGGGAGACAACCACGGUGAAACAAAGAGAAACAAGCAUCUCGGUUCUCACGACAUAUCCGCAAUACAUCACUCGGGUUUACCUUCGAGUUCCACGACUCGUGCGGAUUACGAUGCCACACUCAUGAAUAGGGUAAUCAAGGAAGUGCUUCGUGAAGACAAGCAUGAUCUAAGGGACCCACAUGAUUUUCUCAGAAUAGGAAGGGCACCCAAUAGCAGUUAUGGCCACGAAAGUCAUAACUCACACUCUCGGUCCGGUAAUAGUUAUGGCCACCAAAACCAUGGCUCGUGCUCUCAAUCCUAUAACAGUGAUGGCGACCAGAUACACAGUUCACACUCACGGACAAGUGCGUCACGCUAAUAGUAAGGAACUAUCAUCUGUCAGAAGAAAGAUAGGAUUGGCCAGAGUAACUAGAUAGUCUAUGCAUCCGUCAAUGGCAACCAAACAUCAAAGGAACUCAUCUAUUAUUUUGGUUGUUGCUUCUAUUGUUCUCAACCAUGUAAUAGCGAUAUUAUUCUAAGUAGAUGUACUAUGCAAUAUGUAUGCCAUAUCAUAUUUAGAAUAAUCAUCCAUCACUUCAGACGGAUCAAUCACCCAUCGCUUCGGCUGGGUGACAUCCGUCGCUUCGACCUUAUCUAUUAUCUAUUCGACCCAUGAGUCAAAGCGAUAGUUACAAAAUCUAGUUUACGGCCAGAGUGUCUAAAUUACAAUUUACGAGUCUAGUUUCGAGCCUACGUUACGGUUCUAGGAUUAAUACGGCAAACCAACAAGGGAUAAUUUCAUAGGGAUCAAUCCAUCGCUUUGUCUGGAUGACACCCGUUACUCAAAUCUAGCUUAUGACCCACGAGUCUAAGUGAUGAUUACAAAAUCUAAUUUACGACAAAGAGUCUAAAUUACGAUUACAUGUCAAGUUUACGAUUUACAAGUCCAAGGUGCGACUUACGAUUUAUGAAUCAAACCAUGAGAUUCUAAAUAUUUGCGACUACAAUCAUUGGUACCCUUGUGUUAAUUUUGUCGCUGUGGCCUUAAUAGAUCAAAGAUCAUUUUGUCGUUUUGGCCUUAAUGAUCCUAUCCCAUCUUGUCAUUAUGGCCUUGAUGAGGAUCGAGAGUCUCUCUAUCGCUAUGACUUGAGCUUGGCUAAAACACCAGGGUUCAAAUUUAGAAUUGUAGUCCUAAAUUGCGGAUCUAUAAAAAGGGUCCCAAGGGGACACUCAAAGGCACAAUACAAGUUCCUCUCUCACCAGAGCAUCACUAAGAAACUCGCCAAUUCUCAUUAGAAUCGCCUAGUUUCCACUUGCAGGUAUUUGACGUAGAGCGCGCGUCGUGGACUCUAGAGCCUCCGGCAUCACCUCGCACCACCGCGCGCCCUGGUAGCAGAUUCAGUGCUUCAUCAGAAACUAUGUGGGCCUACCAAACCAUGAUUCAGACAUCAACGGGGCAGACGCCUUUCACCCUUGCCUUUGGAAUAGAAGCGGUGGCCCGAGCGGAGUUAGUAUGGCCGACGGCCAGGAUAGAUCAAUUCUAUCCAAGGAUGAACGAUAAGGCAAUGGUCCUAGGAAGCGAGCACUUUUAGGAGAAAAGGGAGGAAGUCAUCGUCAGAGACAUCGCAUACGAACGAAGAGUGGCCAGAUAGCACAACGAAAGGGUAGCAGAGAAGAACCUAGCACCAGGCGACCUAGUCCUGAGAAAAGCUAAAGUAACGGGCGUGGAUCAAACGAAACAGUUGUUGUUGCCAAGAUGGGAGGGCCCGUACGUGAUCAUGGACGAGGUCCUUCCCGGCAUUUUCCGCCUAGGCUACGAGGACAGGCAGACCAUAGAAAGAACCUAGCACAUGGACAACCUCGAGAAAUACAAGCGCUAGAGGCCGAAAGCGCCAUAUUGAACCAAGGCGAACCGAGAACAGCCAACACUUGCGUUUUUUAUUUCUCCCAGGCAGCAAAAAAAUAAGGAGAAACAGAAAGAAAGGGCCCGCUGUCGAAGAUGCCCGGGUGCGCCUAAGACCGAUCGGCCACAAAAAGGCACCCAGACCGUACAGGCCGCCCCGACAAAAAGCAUAGAAUAUGAACUCGAAAGCGAUAUGCAAAAACGAAAAGUGAUCUUUAUUGUACAGGUAAAAAAGGGGGAAACAACAUUAGGGGGGGCACGACAGUCACGGCGGGGGAGUCGGCGAAAUGUAGUCCGCGGGGUCAGCCUUCAAUUCCUCCUCUUCGCUGUCACCAACAUAAGUCCGAGGUUGCACAUCGGGAGGCCCAGCCACAUCAACGGCUUGCCAGCGCUCCCACUCCGACGGGGUCCGGGGCACAACGAUAAUGGCAAACUCAGAGCAGGCGAGUCGGUACAUGGCACGGUGAUGCUCGUAGCCUUUCCAGAAUCCCGCGCGCUUCUCAACUGCCAUCCGGCGCGUAGCUUCGGCCUGGUACUCGGCGAACAUGGCAUGGAACCUAGUGGACAAAGCGGAAGCGGCCCCGACGUGGUCCUCAAACAGCUUUUUGGCGCGCUCGGUCGCAAGAACAACGGCCUCUUGGGACUCAGAAGCACGGCCCUCCGCCCACUUAAGGCGGGACUCGCAACUCAGGGCCUGCUUCUCGGCGUCGACGAGACUUUGCUCUAGGGCCUGCCUUUCAGUGGACAUCUUCUCCAGCUAGAUCUGGUGGUCCUCCACGUCUUUCGACGCCCCUAACAUGGCUUGAUCUCGCGCGUCCACAACGGUAGAGACCUCCUAGGGCAAACUGGCCACCCGCUCGCUAAGCCGACAGAGCUCCUCUUUCAAGUCUAGACCCCAUUGGUGGCGCACAUAGGCGAGAGAGCCCCCCGAAGGCUAUCGACAUAUAGGUCCUGAUCAAGCGUCGAGACAUCGCACGCGUACAGGUCCGUAUACUCGGCCUCGUCUUGAAGGAACUACUGCAGAAGGUUGAAGCCUUUGAAAAGCAUUCCUACCAUCUAUGGGAUGGAAAUAGAGGGAUCAACACGCGCGAGCUCCGCAGGGUACUUGCCCGCGAGAAAAGCGGUGUCCAAGGCUACACCGAACCCAUGCCGGACCAACAUUUCCCCCUCCAAGACAUAGGCAGGUUUGGAAAGACCGCACCGAGAGCCUUCCCGAUCUCGGACCGACGGGGGACUCCGGGAGAAGAUCAGGUACCUGCGAUGCCUCGAUUUUCCUUUUCGCCGAGCUAGCAUUGAACAAAGGGGUGUCGGCCAGAUUAUCACCCCCAGAGCUUCCGAGGCUCAGUUCCAGAGAAGGGGUGCCCGUCAGAAUAAUACGAGAGGUCUCUUUCUGCUUCUUUUUCCGAAGAGGAGAAGGGUUCCCCCGUCACAGCUACGGGCAUCAUCAGGCCUCAAAUGCCCCUCAACGGACCAGCCUUUCCCGAGAAGGCUGGGCAUCACAGGACCACGGUCAGCGAUCCGGGUGAGCAAGUCGUGCGCCGCCAAGUCGGCCGAAGUCAGGUGUGAAGCAGGAACAAUGCCUGUGAGAGCCCUCAGGGUAUCCAAUGGCGGCCAACUCAUGGGGGGCUCGACAUGGGGCCCGAGGUAAGACAGCUUCACGAAGAAAAACUGGUCACGCCAGGCAUGCACGUGAUCGGACAGGGCUUUGAAAAGGGUCUUUCGGGAGGCGACAAGGACGCGGUUCCAGUUAGUGAUCAUCGGGUACGCAUGAAACUAGUUGAAGAACAGGGGCAUAGUAGGCUAAAUGCCAUAGUCCACGCAGAAAGCGGCAAAGGUGCGAAUACAAUCCACGACGCCCGGAGGGAACUGAGAGAGUGACACCUUGCAAUGGUUAAGGAUGGCCUGAAAAAGUGGGGGAAAUGGCAGAGUCAGGCCGUUGUCCACAUUAGGAAUAUAUUCGGUGACAAACCCAUGCGGUGGAUGCGAGGCGACAAGGUUCCCAUGCAGCUGGUAGUGCACGUUUUCCUUGUACUUAUACAUCUCUUUAAGAACUGCCGCACAAGCUGACGGGGUAACUCUAGAGAGGAGGUUAUUGGGCUCAGGUGCUGGAAUGAAGGCAUUAUGAAUGAGGUCAUCGACUUGGGCAUCAGAAGGAACUUGAGAACUAGACAUUUUAUGCAUGUAAGGGAGUUGCUGGAGUUAAGGAAGAGCGGGAAAAAAGGGAGCAAAUAAGGAAUGUAACUGAAGAUGAAGGGAGCAAUAACAUUUAUAAGAGGGGGAUACGGAAGAUAAAGAGUCGCGAGUACCUGGCUUCCACAGAGGUCAAGAGCCCAGAAGGAAGGCCCACUAAGGCGUGACCGGGCCUGGAGCCCAACACAUCAGGGAACAAGGCAUACGACGAGACGUGGCACAAGCGGCGCGAAGUCACGUACGAGGAACAACCAAAUCACCCGAGAUAUCGAGCGACAGGACCCGAGGGGGCGACAGCCUCGUCCGACAAGGAGGCGGCGGGAUCGUCUAACAGCGAGCCAGGACGAGAACGGGGCAGAUCUCUCCAGGGCGAUACACCGACGGGAGAACCAGGCUCGGAACCGAACCGGGAUGGCCAGUCGAGGGAGGGUCGUAGGGUCGUAAGAGUGCCGCCCGAGGGUCGUAGGGCGCCGGGGAUCGUGGGAAAAGAUCAACUGACGAGCGAAGCUCGAGCAGGACUCGAGCCAGGUCAACAGCGGGUGGUGAGGGUAAGUCAACUGCACGAACUGAGGCACGAAAGGAAAAAGACGUUCAAAAUUUAAAAAUGCGCAAGUACUUCAAAAUAGUAUUAAGUGUUAAGUUCUGUUACAAGCCCGGAGGAUCUAGAAAUUUACAGCGAAAUCCACAAGAAAGAUGUCCUAGGUUACAAUAUAGUGAGAUGAAGCUAAACGUGGAUUAAAGAAAAAAGAAGUGGAAGCAAGUCGGGGGAAGCACACGACCUCCUUCCAGGCAAUACUCAGAGAGGAAGAAGAGGAAGUAUCCCCAUCUCCUGCGGGGGCCAACGGGCCCAUGUCCGAUGGGGACCGAUCAAAAGCACCCCCCGCAUCCAGCGCAAACGCAUGCCUAGUCCCCGACUUAGGCAACCUCGACAAAAGGUGGCGCAAAUCAUUAGCAGGAAGAGACGAGGACCCACGUGAACCGUGACGACAGCGGGAGCGCCGAUGGCGUCCACCAGCAGCAACAGGAGCAACAACAGCCGCGCUGUGGAGCAGCAGAAGCUCGAGGUCACAGCACCAGCAGCAGCAAAAGAAGCGACCAGCGUGCCAGAGGAGGAGGGUGCAUUGGCUAGGCGAAGCUGGGCGAGACGACGGUGAAUGUCAAUCAGGAAAGAGUUCAACCGCUGACUCUCUGACACGGCGACAGAGUGGAAAGCACCAGCGGGCAGCAGCAGGCACUUAGUCCAAGCAGAGUGUUGAAGCUUCACCUCGCGGCCUAACUCCUCUAGAAGGUCUUGAGUCCUCAUCGUCUCUGAUUCCACAAGAUUGAGAAAAGGAGGGCACAUGGUGUUGGAUAUUUAUAGAGAAAACUUGUGAAAGGGACGCAAACUACGAGGCGUCAUAAAGGAAGUUAGGUGGGCGACCUCCACCCCCCCCCCUCGGGCCUAGGGGGGAGUACUGUUGGUACCCAGGCCCAGUAAGCCCAAGGGUUUAAGCUAUAAAUACCUCCCCUGAUUCAACAGGGAGGAGGAUCGAUUAUUAGUAAGUGUAGUAUUAAAGAGUUGUGUUUGUGAGCACCUUAGCACGAGCCCACACAUCAUCACUCGUUAAUUCGAGUACUGCCGGAGGUGAUCAAUGUCGCCUCCAUAUAAAGUUAUGACAACGUUGGAGAUUGCAGGUCAUAUCUUAUAGACAAUAUAGAUAAGGUAUUUUGUAGUUUUCGAUGUAAUUUGUAUUUGAAUGUUGAUAUUUGUUUGUUUUGUGAAUAAAGGAUUUCGGAUUGAUUAAGCUAUUGUUUAAUAUCUGAGGAGAGCGAACACCGGCGGGCGAACGAAGACGCAAUCAAAGGAGGAGUCUGGAGUCGGCGGCGGACGAGAGAGAGCAGCUUCAAACACAGACAGACGCGUUCUGUCUGGAUUUGGGGUUUUUAAUAAACCCAAAACUUACAUGGCGGAUUUCCGCCAUGUAAGUACACUUAAGUGCAGCCAGCACUAAAUGUUAAUAAACUAUUUGAAUGUUAAUAAACUAUUUUUAUUUACUUUAAAUCAUUUUUAUUUAAUAUUGGUUUUAUUUUACUGUUUUUUAAUAAUUUAAAUAAAUAAUUAUUUCAUUUAAUUUUUUUAAAUAUUUUAAUUAAUUAUUUAAUUGACUGUUUUUAAAUAAUUUAAAAAGAGAUUUGAUUAAUUAAUUAAGUGUUUUUAAAUAAUUUACAUAUUGUUUUAAUUAAUUAUUGUGUUGUUGACUUGUUGUAGGUUUUGAAAAAUCGAGAAUUUGUAAAUUUGGGAUUGAAAAAAGUUAUAUUAAUUGAUCAGUAAGAAUUAAAAUUCUUUAUUUAAUCAAUUUCUUUUUAAAUUAUUUAAUUUAUUGUUUUUUUAUAUAAAAAGUAGUAACUAUUGAUUAAUAAUUUACAUGAUUUUAUAUUUUUAUAUUAUAACAAUUUACAUGAUUUUAUAUAUUAACAAUUUACCAUGUACGAAAUGGAUGGUUAAUUAUGUUUGAUUACACGGAUGGGUCACUUAUCAAAAGAUCAUUCACUAUUUCUGUACGACAUUGAGUGGCGUCAUCAAAAUUCACAGAAUUUUAGAGACGCUUGAAAAUAUUAACUGUAAGUGUUUAUAUAUAUGUGUAUUUAUUAAAAUAUUUAUUAAUUUUUCAAAACUCAUAAGUUUUGAAUAUGUAGGAUAUUAGAGAUAUACCCCCACGAGAAUCAUAGAUAUUAGAUAAAUACCCUUAUAGUAAAAAUUAAUCUCAGACCCAUAAGAUUCAUAAAUAUUAGACAUAUGUCAUUAAUGUAAAUAUUAAUCUCAACCCAUCAUCAUUAAACAUAACUCUUUACAUUCCUUUAUAGGAGUUCCCAUAUACAUAUUUAAUUCCAUAUCCAUCCAUAAUUAAUUCCAUAUCCAUAAUCAAUAUUAAACACACAAGCACAUAGCCGUUGGUGUUUACUAUUUAAACUUACCUAAACCUACAUAAUUAGUGUGUUCUUACAGUCCAUAAGUUUCUACACUUUCAAACUCUAAUCUUCAACACAACUGAUUUGCUCAUCUCUUCCACACAACACGAGUGUAUUAUUAUCCAUCACAAAUUCUACAUCACUGUAUUUCCGUUACUAGGCCAAUAUAUUGGAUUAUCGAGUCAUCACCUGACCAAUCGAUCAUCCAAUAGUAUCGCUAUUAUAUACUUAAAUAUUAUCAUAUUUAUCAUAUAGUAUACACUCGUAAUAUUGCUUUAAGUACUAACCAAAGACAUUCAAUUUCUCCCAAGAUAUAUAUUUUCAUAUUUGUAUAUCUCUAUCAUGAUAGGGUGAGUAUGAUUUGAGUUAAAGCAAAACAGAACAAACUAAUAUCAAUACUAAGUUGAACAAACUUUGGAGGAGAAACCAUAAUUCUUUGUUAAUUAAACAAUAUGACAGAGAUCCAGAUAUGACUAAAGAAGAAAUUUUAAAAACUCUUUCAUCUUAUGUCAGCAAACCUCAAUAUCUGAAUAAAUUGAGACAAACAAGAUCGGAAAGAGAAAAGGUAUAUGUAUAUAUCUUAUUUGCCAGGAAACUUUCUUAUUUAAGUUUUUAUUUCUUGUUUUUAAAUUUUCAAGAAAUUUCCGGAAUAAAUGCCACAAACCGAUCGAGCCAAUCAAAUGACACAUCACGCUAGUUCAAAAGGAUUAACGCAACGACAUCAUAAAUUGUAAUUAUUACUAUUUUAUAUUUUAUUUAUUUAAAUAUUAAUUAAUAAUUUUAAUAUAGAGAAAACAAGGAAGCGAUAAAUGACAUAUCGUAGAAACGAUAAAAUAGUAAGUCUUUUAUUUUUUUUAUAAAUUUUAUUUUUAUUUUUUAAUAAUCUUAUUUACUAAUAAUUUUAUAUAAUCUUUCUUCAGCUAGAAGCCACCAUUCUCCUUAUUAAAAAACCAAGAGGGAAAAUCUUGGGCUGACUCGGAAUCUUUGACACCCAUUGUAUGUUUGAUUAUUUUUUAUUUACAUAUUAUAUUUUUGAUUUACUAUUUAUCUAUUUUUAAAAUACAAUAAUUUAUCAAAACGACGGUAAACAAAUCGUUUGGGGAAAAAAAAAAUCAGAUAAUGGGGAUUAGAGAUGCAACAAGUAUAGUUAAUACAACCAACGAAAGAUGGGCUUCUCCUGUGUUGGUACCAUGGCCCGUCCAGACAGACCAUGGGCCGAACAGACCAUAAGGCCCAAAAGGCCCAAGAAGAUGUCCUAUAAAUACUUCCCCUGGUCCAACAGGGGAGGGGGUUGUGAAUUAUCAAGAGAGAAAACUAGAGAGUUGUGUGUGCGAGCCUCUUACCGCGAGCCAGCACACCAUCACCCUGAUUGGAAACGAAAAGACAUCUUAGAAAAUACGUCUAUACCUAUUGGAGGGCGUCAAAUGUGGAUGACAUAAAUGGAGAAGAAGGUAUUUUAAAUUAAUUUCAUAAAUUUUCAAACUCAUUUAUAUUUUCAAUUUCAGAACGCGCAAAAAAAGAGUAAGAAAAUAUUCUCUAAGAUAAACAAAGAGUUGGAGUCGAUGAGAACUACAGUGAUGGCGAUGACUGAAGCAUUCUACGCUUCCAAAAUGGACUUGACAAAUAAUAUUCCAUCUCUUUUGAAGUCAAGCCUAAUAUUGUCUGCAGUGGAAUCAGAUCAUUCCAGUUCAGAUUUCGACGACUCUAUUUCAGACGAAUAGUGAGUCUACUAUCUAAUUUCGAAUGUUGUUUAACUUUUGUUACUAUCGAUUUAAAUAAAAACAUCGAAUCUUAUUUUCAAAUCAUCGAUUCUAAUUUCAAAAUUAUGUUUUAAAACGUAUUCUAAAAUAAACGAUUCAAUUAUUAUGUUUUAAAAAAAUUCUUUAAACAAUGUAUGGUGGAAAUCCGUCAUUAAUAAAUUCCGAUUCCGCCUACAAGGGUUUACGAAGAUUUAGAUGUAGUGACGGAUUUCCGACACACCUAAGCUUUAGAAUUCCCCACAAACGAAUUGUCUUUGGAUCAGGUUCACCAUUUAAUGCAUACAAGCUGAUUUUUGAGAUCUCGAUUGUUUGUAUGUUGUCAAUAGCAUCUUUAAAUUCAUCAGCAUCUUCAAAAUCUUCUUCAUUCAUUUCAGUUAAUACAUCUCCCUCUGCUGAUAAUCUGAAUAGGCGACCUUUGCAACGAUGACCACAAAUCCAUUUCUCCUCACAAUUGUAACAUAGUCCUUUUUGUCUUCUUGCUUUCAUUUCUAUCGGUGUCAACUUGUUUCUUAUAACUGUCUCUUUGUUAUGUCCUGCAUCUCCAAUUAUUUUGUGCGGUGGGACAUAGUUAUUACGUUGAUCUUCCCAAACCACUAGCUGUUUAUUAUUAGAAUAAACAGUUUCUUGUACCUCACAAACCGUUGCUAAUGCAAACGCUUCUGAAAUCCCCUCGGGUCUUGCCUUCACCAGCUCUUUUUGAAUCUCUGGUUUCAAACCCGUGAUAUACAUUUGCCUCUUUCUCUCCUCUGAAACUCCUCUUACUUUAGUUGCUAAGGCUUCAAAUUUAUUUUGAUAAUCUUUGAUAGAUGUUGUUUGUACCAGUCUUCCCAAACGCCCCGUUGGUAGGUCGUAAGGACUGCUGCCAAAUCUUUUCUGUAAAUCUUCUAGGAAAUCAGACCAGAUUGUAGAUUACCCUCGGCCUCCAUCCAAACCAUCCAGUCCAGCGCCUCAUCUUCCAUGUUCAUGGUUGCUUGCACGAUUCUUUCGUCAUCCGGAGUACCAUGAUAACGAAAAUAUUUCUUUACUUGAUAUAUCCAACCUUCCACAUUUUUCCCGUUAAACUUGGGCAUCUUCGUGUGCAGAUUUCUUUUAGGAAUAUCGCGACUUCCUUGGUUAUUUGAUGAUGAUGGACCCUCGUUCACAUAUUUGGCGAGAUCCGCAACUGUAGCUCCUAGAUUGGCUACCAUAUCAUUUAUUUGAGCGAAUGCUUGUUUAUUUUCCAGCGCUUCCAAUUCCUGUUUUUGCUGCAAACUUUUUAAUAAUUCUUCCAUAACGCUGUUGUAUCCUGUAGUAAAAUUGACUUUAGUUGAAAUUCGAAAUACAAGACAAGUCAAGAGUACGUCCCUUAUCUAGAUCUAAAUAUAGAGUUAGAUCGACUCUUGGAAGAUUUUUUUGAAUAUUUUUGAGUCGUUCCCGACUAUGCAGCUUUGGAAUAUUUUCCUUUUUGUGUAUUGAUGAUCCUGCUAACCAAAUAUUUUAAAUAAGAACACAAACAACAGAUUUUCUAAAAAUAGAUAAGUCCCUGUUGUAGAUCUAGUAUAGAUCUUGAUCAAAUCUUGGAAUGCUUUUUGAACUGAUUAACGUCGUUCCUGACGGUCUUCUGAAGAUCUUCGGAAGAGUUCGAUUGAAAGCACCAAUGAUAAGUGAUGAAACAGUCCUUGAUCUGUAAUCACCCAAAAUAUCCAAGCCAAAAAGUACCAAAAACGUAGAAAUAGCAAACUUCCAAGAGGCACAAAUGUCGUUAAUUAUUAAAAAGAUAAUCCCUAGGUUUAGGGUUACAAAGUCUAUAAAUAGUCUUGACAAAUAAAUUAAUGAAAUGGCUAAGCCCACUAAAAGUCCAGCAACGAAAUAAAUAAAUUAACUCAUCUUAAAAUCAUUAAGAUGGGUGGAACCCGCCUGACCUGUUUACCUCUUCCAAGCUCUUCAUUUAUAACUUCUAUCUCUUCUCUAGGUAUUCUUUCCCCUUCCGCGUCACUUGAAGCAACAUCCGCGCCGUCGUCUUCAUCAGGCUCCAGAUCGUCCUCUGCAUCUUCCCAGUCUCCGUCAAUACUGUCAGUAGCCCUGUUAAUCGAACGAAUUCGAACCGGAUACCCCUGUAUCCGAAUUCGAAUUCGAUUAGUAUCCGGAUAAUCCGAAUUCGUCCGAUUAGUAUUCGAAUUUCAAAAUCCGUAUCCGAAUUCGAAUUCGAUUAAAAAUAUCCGAAUUCGAUUCGAAUAACAUUUAUAAAAAACCCCAAAAAUAAUAUUUUAUUUUUUUUGUUAAAAAAAC